rnacentral:misc_RNA from 1 species
CCAAAAAAAAAAAAAAAAAACUUAGCAUAACAUUGGCUGAAUCUUUUUGGAGCUCUUGGUUCUUCUAUGAAGUAAUGUGACUGGGUAUGAAAAGAGGGAGAAAAUACAGUGGAUUUAGGGGAGAAAAGAAUCAGGAAGAGGAAUGACACGAAAGACAAACCUCUGGUACCAUAUUGAUGUAUAUAGCUUCUUCUCUGUUCUAAAUAAU